CGAACAAUGUGCCAUAAAUUUCGGACCAAAUGUUAAAAUGUUAUAAAAAAAAAAAACCUAAUCACAAUUCUUGUCUAUAGGAAAUGUCUUUUAUUUUAACACUAGCAUCUAGCAUUAUCCUGUAAUUAGAUUGAUACUUUUUAAUAAUGUGGGUUAAUGAACAAAAGUCGUAGCCGGCGCGAUUGCGUGCUGCGAGUGUGGCUCCAUUCUACCAAUAUCGUAGUUAAUUCGAUUGUGCCUGCGGUAAUGCGACGCGGUACCCGCCCCGAGUAACAAGAUCACCGGUAAUGCAAUUCCCUCUUCUCUCUUGUUUGGUGCAAGAUUAGUCUCCGACCUGAUGUGAUUCUGUUUUAAAACUAAUUUCAGAAAUUGAACAAGUUUAAUAGUCUUAAUUUCCUUUUGUAGGAGCAAUUAAAAUUUCCAAGAAAACUCAGCCAUUUUUUUUUAAAUCUAUUCGAAGGCAUAUCGAUGAACAUACAUUUGUAAAAGUGGCCCAUUUAAUUCAAUAAGUACACUUUUUUUGUCUUCAUACCUAAGCUGAUAACCUUGAGAGGCUAUUUCAGCGUAACCUUAACUAGUAGGUGAGCUCACGGGGCUCAAACCGGAGUGAUGCUAACACUGACCCUAGCAAAAGCAGUGCUUCGCAGAAUCUACCACCGGAUCGGAAACGCGACCCUCUGAGAAGAUCCUCCGGCUAUAAACUCAGUGGGCUGUGUCUGUGGGUUAUUUCAUCACGAGAUGUAAUUUUCACAUGCAGCUUAAAAGUUUUUAAUUGAACGCUCAACAUUCGUGUCACGGAGGAAAUCGCCGCACUUCCGCCCUCCCCUGGGGAUGGAGGGCGGGGCAUGUCGGAGUCGAACUGGCCAAAACCUCCUGUCGCUCAACAGCCCACGUCCGAACCUCACAUGAGACAGAACUCAUGAAAAGGCAAAGGGGGGAAAGUGAAGCGCUUAGUGCGGAGCACAUCUCUCCCAUCACCCUCCCCCUCUUUUGCUUGAUCUGGCGUAGAAAUAGAUCAUUCAAUAAUCAAAAGCCGCCGACGAGUGUAAAAAAACUUAAUAUAUAUUUGCACGCAAAGCUUUGCUGGAAAUCAUGUAACAUCAAUACAAUUUUCUAUAGAAAACCAUCGAAUAUAUAAUGAUAUAUAUUGACAACUUUCAUACCAUUUACCAGCUGACUUAUGUACGAUAUUAUGACGUUAUUGUGUCUCCGGGAACAUGUUCCCUCAAGUAUCCAUCGUUUGGAAGCUCGCCAGACAGUCGUGACGCAGCCUUGCGGUCCAUUAAUCAUAAUUCAAUGAUGUCCAGCUCAGGAUUGGCCCAUUUUUAGAAUUCCGCACGUCGAAUGAAAUUGAUGUCAUUAUUCGUAGACUAUAUGUGAUUCUUUAAAUUAGCCCUGAUAGUUUUCUAGAUCCGCAAAAGAUGAGACGAGCAAGAAAAACCUUUUUGAAGUGAAACUUCCUUAUCGGCGUUGGAAAAAAAUUUACCGUCACAUUUUUCGGUUACGCGUCACUUUUUUCCGUUACGCGCCAUCUGUUUUGUAUUCAUGUCUAUGAUAAUAAAAUCCUUUUGUUUAAACUUUAUCUAAUUUAACUUUUUUGUAUUCAUGUCUAUGAUAAUAAAAUCCUUUUGUUUAAACUUUAUCUAAUUUAACUUUAUUUAACCAAUUUCUAGAAAGUUGCAUGUAGAUCAUUUUUCGAAAAAUAAGGCCAUAAACAAGUUUCACUUCUUACGUGUGUACACUAGUACACGCACACAUUUUUUUUGUUUGUGAUUAUUAUUUGGUAAAUUUAAUUGCUGAAAUAAGCUGAAAUAAUUACAAUUCAAUUACAAAGAUAAA